rnacentral:rRNA from 2 species
AGACCCGAAACCCGGUGAUCUAGCCAUGGGCAGGUUGAAGGUUGGGUAACACUAACUGGAGGACCGAACCGACUAAUGUUGAAAAAUUAGCGGAUGACCUGUGGCUGGGGGUGAAAGGCCAAUCAAACCGGGAGAUAGCUGGUUCUCCCCGAAAGCUAUUUAGGUAGCGCCUCGUGAAUUCAUCUCCGGGGGUAGAGCACUGUUUCGGCUAGGGGGCCAUCCCGGCUUACCAACCCGAUGCAAACUGCGAAUACCGGAGAAUGUUAUCACGGGAGACACACGGCGGGUGCUAACGUCCGUCGUGAAGAGGGAAACAACCCAGACCGCCAGCUAAGGUCCCAAAGUCAUGGUUAAGUGGGAAACGAUGUGGGAAGGCCCAGACAGCCAGGAUGUUGGCUUAGAAGCAGCCAUCAUUUAAAGAAAGCGUAAUAGCUCACUGGUCGAGUCGGCCUGCGCGGAAGAUGUAACGGGGCUAAACCAUGCACCGAAGCUGCGGCAGCGAACGUAUCACCCAAGACAACUUUACGGAGUUGACGAUUGACGGAGCGAAGCGACGUCAAAGCGUUCAUUAAAGUCGAGUUGGCUUAGGGAUACGUUCGUUGGGUAGGGGAGCGUUCUGUAAGCCUGUGAAGGUGUGUCGUGAGGCAUGCUGGAGGUAUCAGAAGUGCGAAUGCUGACAUAAGUAACGAUAAAGCGGGUGAAAAGCCCGCUCGCCGGAAGACCAAGGGUUCCUGUCCAACGUUAAUCGGGGCAGGGUGAGUCGACCCCUAAGGCGAGGCCGAAAGGCGUAGUCGAUGGGAAACGGGUUAAUAUUCCCGUACUUGGUGUUACUGCGAAGGGGGGACGGAGAAGGCUAUGUUGGCCGGGCGACGGUUGUCCCGGUUUAAGCGUGUAGGUGUGUGUUCCAGGUAAAUCCGGUUCACUUUAACACUGAGGCGUGAUGACGAGGCACUACGGUGCUGAAGCAACAAAUGCCCUGCUUCCAGGAAAAGCCUCUAAGCAUCAGGUAACAUCAAAUCGUACCCCAAACCGACACAGGUGGUCAGGUAGAGAAUACCAAGGCGCUUGAGAGAACUCGGGUGAAGGAACUAGGCAAAAUGGUGCCGUAACUUCGGGAGAAGGCACGCUGACACGUAGGUGAAGUGAUUUACUCACGGAGCUGAAGUCAGUCGAAGAUACCAGCUGGCUGCAACUGUUUAUUAAAAACACAGCACUGUGCAAACACGAAAGUGGACGUAUACGGUGUGACGCCUGCCCGGUGCCGGAAGGUUAAUUGAUGGGGUCAGCGCAAGCGAAGCUCCUGAUCGAAGCCCCGGUAAACGGCGGCCGUAACUAUAACGGUCCUAAGGUAGCGAAAUUCCUUGUCGGGUAAGUUCCGACCUGCACGAAUGGCGUAAUGAUGGCCAGGCUGUCUCCACCCGAGACUCAGUGAAAUUGAACUCGCUGUGAAGAUGCAGUGUACCCGCGGCAAGACGGAAAGACCCCGUGAACCUUUACUAUAGCUUGACACUGAACAUUGAGCCUUGAUGUGUAGGAUAGGUGGGAGGCUUUGAAGUGUGGACGCCAGUCUGCAUGGAGCCGACCUUGAAAUACCACCCUUUAAUGUUUGAUGUUCUAACGUGGACCCGUAAUCCGGGUUGCGGACAGUGUCUGGUGGGUAGUUUGACUGGGGCGGUCUCCUCCUAAAGAGUAACGGAGGAGCACGAAGGUUGGCUAAUCCUGGUCGGACAUCAGGAGGUUAGUGCAAUGGCAUAAGCCAGCUUGACUGCGAGCGUGACGGCGCGAGCAGGUGCGAAAGCAGGUCAUAGUG